GAUGAACGCUGGCGGCGUGCCUAAUACAUGCAAGUCGAGCGAACAGACGAGGAACUUGCUCCUCUGACGUUAGCGGCGGACGGGUGAGUAACACGUGGAUAACCUACCUAUAAGACUGGGAUAACUUCGGGAAACCGGAGCUAAUACCGGAUAAUAUAUUGAACCGCAUGGUUCAAUAGUGAAAGACGGUUUUGCUGUCACUUAUAGAUGGAUCCGCGCCGCAUUAGCUAGUUGGUAAGGUAACGGCUUACCAAGGCAACGAUGCGUAGCCGACCUGAGAGGGUGAUCGGUCACACUGGAACUGAGACACGGUCCAGACUCCUACGGGAGGCAGCAGUAGGGAAUCUUCCGCAAUGGGCGAAAGCCUGACGGAGCAACGCCGCGUGAGUGAUGAAGGUCUUCGGAUCGUAAAACUCUGUUAUUAGGGAAGAACAAAUGUGUAAGUAACUAUGCACGUCUUGACGGUACCUAAUCAGAAAGCCACGGCUAACUACGUG
rnacentral:rRNA from 1 species